rnacentral:misc_RNA from 1 species
UGUAGUGUCUUGGGUUGGGACUGGCCUUAUGCCAUCCCAAUGCAGCAUUGCA